CAGUCGCCACGGUAAUACGAAGGGGGCUAGCGUUGUUCGGAUUUACUGGGCGUAAAGCGCACGUAGGCGGACUUUUAAGUCAGGGGUGAAAUCCCGGGGCUCAACCCCGGAACUGCCUUUGAUACUGGGAGUCUUGAGUUCGAGAGAGGUGAGUGGAAUUGCGAGUGUAGAGGUGAAAUUCGUAGAUAUUCGCAGGAGCACCAGUGGCGAAGGCGGCUCACUGGCUCGAUACUGACGCUGAGGUGCGAAAGCGUGGGGAGCAAACAGGAUUAGAGACCCGCGUAGUCCCUGUCUCUUAUAA
rnacentral:rRNA from 1 species